GACGAACGCUGGCGGCGUGCUUAACACAUGCAAGUCGAACGGAAAGGCCCUGCUUUUGUGGGGUGCUCGAGUGGCGAACGGGUGAGUAACACGUGAGUAACCUGCCCUUGACUUUGGGAUAACUUCAGGAAACUGGGGCUAAUACCGGAUAGGAGCUCCUGCUGCAUGGUGGGGGUUGGAAAGUUUCGGCGGUUGGGGAUGGACUCGCGGCUUAUCAGCUUGUUGGUGGGGUAGUGGCUUACCAAGGCUUUGACGGGUAGCCGGCCUGAGAGGGUGACCGGCAACAGUGGGACUGAGAUACGGCCCAGACUCCUACGGGAGGCAGCAGUGGGGAAUAUUGCACAAUGGGCGGAAGCCUGAUGCAGCAACGCCGCGUGCGGGAUGACGGCCUUCGGGUUGUAAACCGCUUUCGCCUGUGACGAAGCGUGAGUGACGGUAAUGGGUAAAGAAGCACCGGCUAACUACGUG
rnacentral:rRNA from 1 species